rnacentral:sRNA from 1 species
AUGGCUGUCGUCAGCUCGUGCCGUGAGGUGUUUGGUUAAGUCCAGCAACGAGCGCAACCCUUAUCAUUAGUUGCCAACACGUAAGGUGGGGACUCUAAUGAGACUGCCUAGGUUAACUAGGAGGAAGGCGAGGAUGACGUCAAGUCCGCAUGGCCUUUAUGUCCAGGGCUACACACGUGCUACAAUGGUCGGUACAGAGGGCUGCAAGACCGUAAGGUGGAGCAAAUCCCAGAAAGCCGAUCUCAGUUCAGAUUGUGGGCUGCAACUCGCCCACAUGAAGUCGGAAUUGCUAGUAAUGGCGCGUCAGCAACAGCGCCGUGAAUACGUUCCCGGGCCUUGUACACACCGCCCGUCACAUCAUGGGAGUUGGUUUUACCCAAAGUGUCUGACUCAACCGCAAGGGGAGAGGGCACCAAGGUAAUGUCGAUGACUGGGAUGAAGUCGUAACAAGGUAGCCCUACCGGAAGGUGGGGCUGGAUCACCUCCUUUUAAGGACUAUAUGUACGUCCACCCCUCCGGUGAACGACAUUAGGUUGAGCAAGCUUGUUUGUGCAUGUAUCAUCGCUUCCCUUCUCUUGUCUAAACAAGAGAUGUAGUAGAAAUACUACAUUUGUUAUCUUGAAAUUUUCGGAUAAGUAAAAGUAAGUUUAAUUAAUACAAGUAUUCAAUUAAAUCAAAGCGCAAUUUUCACUGAUGUAAAUUAGCGCUUGAAGAAUAAUUCAUAUUUAUAUUUUAACGGCGAAUUAGCAAAAUGAUUUUUGAUCAAGUUGCUAAGGGCUGUUGGUGGAUGCCUUGGCAUCGACAGACGAAGAAGGACGCGCAAACCUGCGAUAAGCUCCGGUGAGCUGGAAAGAAGCAUUGAACCGGAGAUUUCCGAAUGGGGAAACCCGG